rnacentral:rRNA from 1 species
UACGUAGGGGGCGAGCGUUGUCCGAAGUUACUGGGCGUAAAGGGCGCGUAGGCGGCUCAUGAAGGCUGUGGUGAAAGUCCGGGGCUCAACCUCGGAUCGGCCGUGGCGACUCGUGGGCUGGAGCACUGUAGAGGCGGGUGGAAUUCCGGGUGUAGCGGUGGAAUGCGUAGAGAUCCGGAAGAACACCAGUGGCGAAGGCGGCCCGCUGGGCAGUGGCUGACGCUGAGGCGCGACAGCGUGGGGAGCAAACAGG